GAUGAACGCUGGCGGCGUGCCUAAUACAUGCAAGUCGAGCGAACAGACGAGGAGCUUGCUCCUCUGACGUUAGCGGCGGACGGGGAAGAAACACGUGGUUACCCAACUUUUAAAACGGGGAUAACUUCGGAAAACGGAGGCUAAUACGGGUAAUUAUUUUAAACCGAAGGGUUAAUUAGUGAAAGAGGGUUUUGUGGUAACUAAAGAUGGGUUCCGCGCCGCAUUAGCUAGUUGGUAAGGUAACGGCUUACCAAGGCAACGAUGCGUAGCCGACCUGAGAGGGUGAUCGGCCACACUGGAACUGAGACACGGUCCAGACUCCUACGGGAGGCAGCAGUAGGGAAUCUUCCGCAAUGGGCGAAAGCCUGACGGAGCAACGCCGCGUGAGUGAUGAAGGUCUUCGGAUCGUAAAACUCUGUUAUUAGGGAAGAACAAAUGUGUAAGUAACUAUGCACGUCUUGACGGUACCUAAUCAGAAAGCCACGGCUAACUACGUG
rnacentral:rRNA from 1 species